rnacentral:pre_miRNA from 1 species
GACAUACUCCCUCUGUCCCGAAUUAGUUGACUUAGAUUUGUCUAGAUACGGAUGUAUCUAACACUAAAAUGUGUACAUCUGUAUCUAGACAAAUCUGAGUCAACUAAUUCGGGACGGAGGUAAUAUUAU